AGUCCUUAGCCCGCCUCGGCCUUCGGGCCGGGGGUCGGGGUGAACGCUGGAUCCGAGGGGGUAGUAGGUAAGCGAUGGGGUGACGCAGGAAGGUAGUCCAGCCCAGGCGAUGGUGGUCCUGGGGUAAGCAUGUAGGGCGAGCGGCAGGCAAAUCCGCCGUUCAGGUGCCUGAGGUGUGAUGCCGAGCCGAGUGUGGCGAAGUGGAUGAUCCUCUGCUGCCGAGAAAAGCCUCUAGCGAGUGUUGCGGCGGCCCGUACCCGAAACCGACUCAGGUGGUCAGGUAGAGAAUACCGAGGCGAUCGGGUGAACUGUGGUUAAGGAACUCGGCAAAUUGCCCCCGUAACUUCGGGAGAAGGGGGGCCCCUGCUGGUGAUCGGACGUGCUCCGGGAGCUGGUGGGGGUCGCAGUGGCCAGGGGGAAGCGACUGUUUACUAAAAACACAGGUCCGUGCGAAGUCGUAAGACGAGGUAUACGGACUGACGCCUGCCCGGUGCCGGAACGUUAAGGGGACCGCUCAGCCCGCGGGGAACCGUGGGCGAAGGUGAGAACUUAAGCGCCGGUAAACGGCGGUGGUAACUAUAACCAUCCUAAGGUAGCGAAAUUCCUUGUCGGGUAAGUUCCGACCUGCACGAAUGGCGUAACGACUUCCCCGCUGUCUCAACCGCAGACCCGGCGAAAUUGCAGUACGAGUAAAGAUGCUCGUUUCGCGCAGCAGGACGGAAAGACCCCGGGACCUUCACUACAGCUUGACAUUGGCGUUUGAGGCGGCUUGUGUAGGAUAGGUGGGAGACUGGGAAGCUCCGACGCUAGUCGGGGUGGAGUCGUUGGUGAAAUACCACUCUGGCCGGUUCGAGCGUCUAACCCGCGCCCCUGGAUCGGGGUGGGGGACAGUGUCUGGUGGGUAGUUUAACUGGGGCGGUUGCCUCCUAAAGGGUAACGGAGGCGCCCAAAGGUUCCCUCAGCCUGGUUGGCAAUCAGGUGGCGAGUGUAAGUGCACAAGGGGGCUUGACUGUGAGACCGACGGGUCGAGCAGGAGCGAAAGCUGGGACUAGUGAUCCGGCAUCGGCGUGUGGAAGCGGUGUCGCUCAACGGCUAAAAGGUACCCCGGGGAUAACAGGCUGAUCUUCCCCAAGAGUCCAUAUCGACGGGAUGGUUUGGCACCUCGAUGUCGGCUCGUCGCAUCCUGGGGCUGGAGUAGGUCCCAAGGGUUGGGCUGUUCGCCCAUUAAAGCGGUACGCGAGCUGGGUUUAGAACGUCGCGAGACAGUUCGGUCCCUAUCCGCUGCGCGCGUAGGAGACUUGAUGGGGGCUGUCCCUAGUACGAGAGGACCGGGACGGACGAACCUCUGGUGUGCCAGUUGUAUCGCCAGGUGCAUGGCUGGUUGGCUACGUUCGGAAGGGAUAACCGCUGAAGGCAUCUAAGCGGGAAGCUCGCCCAAAGAUGAGGUCUCCCACCCCCAGUGAUGGGGGGUAAGGCUCCCGGGAGAUGACCGGGUUGAUAGGCCGGAGGUGGAAGCGCGGUGACGUGUGGAGCUGACCGGUACUAAUCGGCCGAGGACUUGACCAC
rnacentral:rRNA from 1 species